CGUCUAUAUACGUAUAGCAUAUCAAUAAGCGGAGGAAAAGAAACUAACUAGGAUUCCCUUAGUAACGGCGAGUGAAGCGGGAAGAGCUCAAAUUUGAAAUCUUCAAGGUUUUACCUUGACGAAUUGUAGUUUAAAGAAGUGUUUUCUGUUGGAGUUUUGGUAAAAGUUCUUUGGAAUAGGACAUCAUAGAGGGUGAGAAUCCCGUAUUUGACCAUUAUUUCCAACUUUGUGAUACACUUUCAAAGAGUCGGAUUGUUUGGGAAUGCAGUCCAAAAUGGGUGGUAAAUUUCAUCUAAAGCUAAAUACUGGCGAGAGACCGAUAGCGAACAAGUACCGUGAGGGAAAGAUGAAAAGAACUUUGAAAAGAGAGUUAAACAGUAUGUGAAAUUGUCAAAAGGGAAGCGUUUGACACCAGUGUUGUUUUCUCGAAAAUCAAUUAAAAAUGAGUAGGAUUUUGUGAUUGUUAUGACCUUAUCAGCUUACUGUACUUUUUUCUUAUCCUUUUUAAUGCACUUUUCGUUUAACAAGUCAACAUCAAUUUCUUUUGUUGUAAAAGAGUCAUUGGAAGGUGGCUUUCUUUUCGGAGAAAGUGUUUAUAGCCUUUGGCUUCUGCAAUCGGAGAGAUUGAGGUCUGCAGCGUAGAUCCUUCGGGGUUAGAUACAUUUGUGCUAAGCUAUAGCCUUUCAUAGACAACUUGUUGACUAUGAUCAGUCAUGUAGCUUACUCGCUUAUGCUAUUUUACCUACGCUUAGGAUGUUGAUCUGUAGUGCGUGCGC
rnacentral:rRNA from 1 species